rnacentral:sRNA from 1 species
UUUUUGCUAUUUCAUCAGCUCAUUCGAGGGCUUUUUCAUCUCAUCACAAUUUUUCUGUCUAACCUCAGGGUUAGUAUUUCUUCUGUCCUCUAAUACUAUCCAUUUAGUAUAACAACCUUUUUGGAACAACAUGGUAGAGUUGUCUGAAGGAAGCUAGAGAUGUCCACUUGGGGCAGCUCUGAACUGAGAAGCAGCCUCCUCACCUAGUGCAGCUUGGGAAUGUGCAUGGGGAGGCAGGGUGGCAGCAGCAAACCCCGGCAAGAUGUCACUAAUGAUCGCUUUGAUGAGCCAGCCCGAAUUCUAGUAAGAUGCUCCUGCAAAUUAUCAUCCCAGAUGUUUUCUUUCUCCUUUUUUGGCAUCUGUGCUCCAUGGUUCCCUUCAUGUAGGCCUCUCCUUCCCUUCCUCCAAUGACUGUUCUCUUCCCUGUGCCUGUUUCUUUUACCCAGGCCUUUUUGAGCAGCGAGUGGAGCAGUACUUAGAAGAACUCCCAGACACUGAGCAGAGUGGAAUGAAUAAGUUUCUCCGAGGUUUGGGCAACAAAAUGAAGUUUCUCCACAAGAAGAAUUAAGCCUCCUUCUCAGUAGCAGAGUCCAGUGCCUUGC